rnacentral:lncRNA from 1 species
AUGUUGAUUCCAAAGAUCACACUGUUCAAAAACUUUCAAAAUAUUAACCAUUAAGGUUUGCAAAAUGAUUAAAAAGAACGUUUCUACAAUACCACAGAGUAUAGACAGACUAUACAAAAGUCCGACGUCUCUUCCCCGCGCUGUUGUAAGAAUUUUCUUCCCAGCGUGCUAAGGAUAGGUCAACCCUCCACUCGAAAAAGUUCAAAAUAGUAGGCUUUUUUUAGACGUUCGGGGGGGAGGGGGGGGGUGAUAAUGCCUAUAAGUAGCGCACUGGUAACGAACAUGGCGACAGGUUACUACUACCUAUUGGUUACAGCAUUUUUCCAGAGUCGGACCUCUGUAUAGUCUAUGCUCUGUGACAGUGCAUUGCGAUUUAAGACGGCGUCAUUACUGUGAAAAGAAAUAUGAAGUAGUAUUGUUUGGAUCGUUUUUUUGAAAGAACAAAUUUGUAUGUUCAUAAACGUCAGACAUGUGUCAGGCGAUAAAUUACCGAGGAAUAGUGGGAACCAUAUAUUCAGACUAAUCUAAUGACGAUAAAUAGAUGUAUUGAAACAAAAAUGUUACUGACGGCUUCCUGUUAUUAAACAGUUUUGCCUUGUUAAAAAUAGCAAUUAACGAGACAGAUAAAACUGUGACCUGUUAUAUAUAUCUAAACUCGAGUACCUUGAAGGCAGAGUUCGGCCUUUUAAAUAAUGGGUUUUAAUGUGAACUAUCAUUGUCUUUUAGGCCAGGCCGUAAAAUAGGUGGUUUGCAAUCAAUCCCUUGAGGUUUUAUAAGACAAAGACAUGGCGGCCAUGUUGGAGGAAAACACGCUUCAAAUGGCUGUUAAUGAGAUUCUUUUGUUAGCGUUCCUUCAAGAUGGCCGCCAUAUGACGUCAACUGUAAACCACGAAUUAUGUUGUAUUGUAAUGAAUAUUUCUUACCUUCUCAUUGUACUAUUUCGUCGCAGUAAUGUAUGUAUAGUUUCGAGAAAAGGUAAAAUGUAGCCCAAUAUACAAAGAUACAGUCAAUUUUCAUUAAUUUCUUCCUCCUAUAUCUUGAGACUGGGAUAUAGGAUGUGGACUUAUUGCUAAAUUUAUGAAAAUUCCACGGUUUUAUUGAAAUACUUCAAAAUUCCACAAAUAUUUACAAACUUAAUUGAAAAAGUUAAUAUCUCCAAAAUUUCAUGUUGCAGAUACUCACUUCACAUUAAAGCCAUCAUUCAAAACGCCGCACUGUUUCUUCAGAUAUAUAAUGUAACCAUUAUGAUGUAAUGAUACUAUGAGUGUGUGGGGAUUUGAGUUUACAUGCGUAAAAUAACAAUAGUUUAUAAUUUGUAUCAGUAGCGUGAAAAAUUGUAACUAUUAUCACAGACCGGUGUUUGAAUGAAUGUGUAAUCCUAGCGGUUGGAAAUACAAAAGUUUAGUUAUUUUAUUGCCUUAGGCUUAGUAUUUAAUGAUGAUGAAAAGUGCGUUUGUACCGACGAUGAUAUUAGAUAGUUAAGGUCGCAUUUAUAUUGUUUACAGUGUAAAUUAAUUAAAUUAUAUAAUAGUACGAAUAGUAACAAACGAUGAAUAAUAGACUUAGUCGAUUGUAAAACUAGAAUAUACGUUUGGACGAAGUUACAAAAUAUAAUCAAUAUGCAUUGCAAUGCCGG